CACUUAGAGCAAACAAAUCAUAUUCAAACUUGCGCUGAGCAUGUGGUCAGCUCCAGAGAGAAACGAGCCCAUCCAGGUUUCAACAGUGUCAAGUUCAAGGCUUCCUGCAGUGUCAGGCUGGCUAUAUUGGGUUCUUGUCGAUGAGGUCAGCCAGCAGCUGCUUCAGCACGUCGGUGGCGUACUCCAGCUUGCUCUGCAGCACCGUCAUGAUGAGCGAGGCCACAUUGCCACGGUCGCGCAUGGAGAAGCUGCG